GCCUUCGUGGUGUAGUGGUAAGCACACUCGACGCAUAUUCGAGAGGUCCGUGGUUCGAGUCCCGACGAGGGCA
rnacentral:tRNA from 1 species